rnacentral:rRNA from 1 species
CAAUGGACGAAAUCUGACGGAGCAACGCCGCGUGAGUGAUGAAGGUUUUCGGAUCGUAAAGCUCUGUUGUUANGGAAGAACAAGUGCCGUUCGAAUAGGGCGGCGCCUUGACGGUACCUAACCAGAAAGCCACGGCUAACUACGUGCCAGCAGCCGCGGUAAUACGUAGGUGGCAAGCGUUGUCCGGAAUUAUUGGGCGUAAAGCGCGCGCAGGUGGUUCCUUAAGUCUGAUGUGAAAGCCCACGGCUCAACCGUGGAGGGUCAUUGGAAACUGGGGAACUUGAGUGCAGAAGAGGAAAGUGGAAUUCCAAGUGUAGCGGUGAAAUGCGUAGAUAUUUGGAGGAACACCAGUGGCGAAGGCGACUUUCUGGUCUGUAACUGACACUGAGGCGCGAAAGCGUGGGGAGCAAACAGGGAUUAGAUACCCUGGUAGUCCACGCCGUAAACGAUGAGUGCUAAGUGUUAGGGGGUUUCCGCCCCUUAGUGCUGCAGCUAACGCAUUAAGCACUCCGCCUGGGGAGUACGGUCGCAAGACUGAAACUCAAAGGAA